rnacentral:rRNA from 1 species
AGCAUAUCAAUAAGCGGAGGAAAAGAAACUAACAAGGAUUCCCCUAGUAACGGCGAGUGAAGCGGGAAGAGCUCAAAUUUAAAAUCUGGCAGUGUAUUCUGUCCGAGUUGUAGUCUAGAGAAGCAUCAUCCGUGCUGGACCAUGUACAAGUCUCUUGGAACAGAGCGUCAUAGAGGGUGAGAAUCCCGUCCUUGACAUGGACUCCCAGUACUUUGUGUUGUGCUCUCAACGAGUCGAGUUGUUUGGGAAUGCAGCUCAAAAUGGGUGGUAAAUUCCAUCUAAAGCUAAAUAUUGGCGAGAGACCGAUAGCGAACAAGUACCGUGAGGGAAAGAUGAAAAGCACUUUGGAGAGAGAGUUAAACAGUACGUGAAAUUGUUGAAAUGGAAACGCUUGAAGUCAGUCGCGUUCUCUGGGAUUCAGCCUUGCUUCUGCUUGGUGCAUUUCCUAGUCUACGGGCCAGCAUGAAUUUUGACCGGUGGAAAAAGAUUUGGGGAAUGUGGCACCUUCGGGUGUGUUAUAGCCCCUUGUCAUAUACAUCGGUUGGGAUUGAGGUCUUAGUGCACGCUUCGGUUGUGCUUUGAUGCUGGCGUAAUGGCUUUAAACGACCCGUCUUGAAACACGGACCAAGGAGUCUAACAUGUCUGCAAGUGUUUGGGUGCAAAACCCGAGCGCGUAAUGAAAGUGAUAGUUGGGAACCUCUUUAGAGGGGCACCGACGCCCGGACCAGACCUUCUGUGACGGAUCCGAGGUAGAGCAUAUAUGUUGGGACCCGAAAGAUGGUGAACUAUGCCUGCAUAGGGUGAAGCCAGAGGAAACUCUGGUGGAGGCUCGUAGCGAUUCUGACGUGCAAAUCGAUCGUCAAA